UCUAGUUGAAUCUCUUGAUCAGCUAACUAUUACAAGUAAACAUUAUACUUCAAGUGUUUUCCAUACACACAAGCAGCUGCUAGCAACUUCUCCUUGUUGAGGAUCAUUAGAUCCAACAGGUUUAUUCUCACAGUCGGCUAAUGUAGUACGUUUCUUUAAAGCAAUGGGCUCAAGUUUGGAUGAGCUCAAUACGCAAGCAUGACCAGUGUGCUCUUCUCAACUUCUAAAAUGAUUGCCUGUAUCCUUAUUGGAACAAGCUAUACGUCUUCUUCCACUAUUCCAUGUCGGAUGGUCUAGGUAUAAAUUCAGAUGACGGAGUUAGUGGCCAACAGAUUCUUCCAAAAAAUUGGCAAAGGAGAGGAAAGAACUGCUUCUAGCUGAUGAUAAGAUAUGGGAUCAAAAUGGUUUCAAUGAUCUUGUCCUCAGGCAAUUGGGACCGUCUGUUAAUAAGGAAAGUGGACUUGCAAACGCAUAUGAUGGAAAGCUUAAGCUCGGCAUUCUACCAGCAAUUAUUUUCUGUAGCGGGCACACAUAUUUUGUUCAGUUGGAUUCAAUGGCGAGAGAAUUGCCUGAAGAAUUUUACGGACCCUAAAUCAGAAUCAGGGAGUAUUCCUUUUUCAAAGAGGAAAUAGUAUUCCCUAUUCCCUCUUUGAAAACCAUCAAUGCCUUCCAGAUCGUCCUCCAUCUGGAUUGAUAUCUUAAGUGAAAGUAUCAUGGCUUGAUAUACAACUGUGUCGAGAUGGAUCACAAAGUGGUGGAGUAACAAAUAGUACAGGCCCGGCGCAUCCUAAGAUUUCCUAAAUUAUGGUCUUGUUUACUUGUCGAGAACAUUCCUUAUGCUUUAGGUCAGGUUUCUUUAUAUGUUCAUAAAGGAUAUCAUCAGUACACAGUUUCCGGCUUAACUCUACAAUGUUGUUCUUAACAGUUUAAAGCAGUUUUCAUCCGUAAGAUGCCUUUUACAGUUUCUCUGACAAGGUAAGUUAAAUUUUGUCAGAAUUUUUCUGACAAUGCAAGUUAAAUGUCAGAGUUUUUCGGACAAGGGUAGUUAGGUACUGUUUGGGGUUGCUGUUGCAGACAGCAACAGCAGCUUUUUGCUGAAAAGCGAGUAAGAAACUGUUUGGUAAAUUGAAAAGCAGCUUUUCCGAACAACAGCUUUUAGCUGAAAAGCUGCUGUUAGAAAAAGCAGGUCCUCCCAUGCUUUUGGAAAAAGCUGCUUUUCAGCUUUUGCAGAAUGCUGUUAUAGAUUUCAUUAUAAAACCUCACCAAAAACAUUGUUUUUUUAAUAUUAUAACUCAAAAUAAGUAAAUAUCAAAAAAUUACCAAACAGUUAUCUAAUUUCUACAACAACACUUAUUUUACCAGCACUUUUUCUGACAGCACAGCAAUUUUUAACAGCACUCUCAAACAGACUUUUUUUUUUUUUUACGAAACCAAACAGACCCUUAAUCUACCUGUAUGACAAUUUUCUAUUUCUCUCAUAACUAAGUUCUGAUCAGACAACAGUGCGAUUAUUCAG